CCUACGGGAGACAGCAGUGGGGAAUAUUGCACAAUGGGGGGAACCCUGAUGCAGCGACGCCGCGUGAGUGAAGAAGUAUUUCGGUAUGUAAAGCUCUAUCAGCAGGGAAGAAAAUGACGGUACCUGACUACGAAGCCCCGGCUAACUACGUGCCAGCAGUCGCGGUAAUACGUAGGGGGCAAGCGUUAUCCGGAUUUACUGGGUGUAAAGGGAGCGCAGACGGCUGUGCAAGUCUGGAGUGAAAGGCGGGGGCCCAACCCCCGGACUGCUCUGGAAACUGUAAAGCUGGAGUGCAGGAGAGGUAAGCGGAAUUCCUAGUGUAGCGGUGAAAUGCGUAGAUAUUAGGAGGAACACCAGUGGCGAAGGCGGCUUACUGGACUGCAACUGACGUUGAGGCUCGAAAGCGUGGGGAGCAAACAGGAUUAGAUACCCUAGUAGUC
rnacentral:rRNA from 1 species